UACGAAGGGGGCUAGCGUUGCUCGGAAUCACUGGGCGUAAAGGGUGCGUAGGCGGGUCUUUAAGUCAGGGGUGAAAUCCUAGAGCUCAACUUCAGAACUGCCUUUGAUACUGAGGAUCUUGAGUUCGGGAGAGGUGAGUGGAACUGCGAGUGUAGAGGUGAAAUUCGUAGAUAUUCGCAAGAACACCAGUGGCGAAGGCGGCUCACUGGCCCGAUACUGACGCUGAGGCACGAAAGCGUGGGGAGCAAACAGG
rnacentral:rRNA from 1 species